rnacentral:tRNA from 1 species
UAGGAUAUAGCUCAGCAGUGCAGCAUUUGCCUGGCAAGCAUAGGGUCCUGAGUUCAAUUCCUGGUACCCAAA